rnacentral:tRNA from 2 species
AAAGCUUUAAGUUAAAUAAACUAUUAACCUUCAAAGUUAAAAAUAUGUUAAACAUAAGCUUUA